rnacentral:rRNA from 1 species
UAACACAUGCAAGUCGAGCGAGAAGCUACCUAUGACCCUUCGGGGGACUAGACUAGUGGACAGCGGCGGACGGGUGAGUAACGCGUAAAUAACCUGCCAUGCACACAAGGAUAGCCAUCGGAAACGGUGAUUAAUACUUGAUGAGGCUACAGAUUCGCAUGAAUCAGUAGUUAAAGAAUUUUGGUGUAUGAUGGAUUUGCGUUUGAUUAACUAGUUGGUAAGGUAAUGGCUUACCAAGGCGAUGAUCAAUAGCCGGCCUGAGAGGGUGAACGGCCACACUGGAACUGAGACACGGUCCAGACUCCUACGGGAGGCAGCAGUGGGGAAUAUUGCACAAUGGAGGAAACUCUGAUGCAGCAACGCCGCGUGAACGAAGAAGGCUUUCGAGUCGUAAAGUUCUGUUAUAGGGGAAGAAGAAGUGACGGUACCCUAUGAGAAAGCCACGGCUAAUUACGUGCCAGCAGCCGCGGUAAUACGUAAGUGGCAAGCGUUAUCCGGAAUUACUGGGCAUAAAGAGUUCGUAGGCGGUUAAUCAAGCCAGCUAGUGAAAGCCAUCGGCCUAACCGAUGUAAGCUAAUGGAACUGGUUAACUUGAGUACAGGAGAGGAAAGUGGAAUUCCUAGUGUAGUAGUGAAAUGCGUAGAUAUUAGGAAGAACAUCAGUAGCGAAGGCGACUUUCUGGACUGUAACUGACGCUGAGGAACGAAAGCGUGGGGAGCGAACAGGAUUAGAUACCCUGGUAGUCCACGCCGUAAACGAUGGAUACUUGGUGUUGGCCGUAAAGGUCGGUGCCGGAGCAAAUGUAUUAAGUAUCCCGCCUGGGGAGUAUGGUCGCAAGGC